UUGGUAGCGCUGCCAUGCUGGCGUCUUUUCUAAUGCGCACAUGCUCUAAAAGUGAAACGAAAUUGAGAAGUAAUCUACUGUCACAAGCCUUGGAGACUCAAAUGACGGUGGCUUCUCUUGAGCAUCUGCAGUGAAGAAACCCGGGAACUUUGUUUAACACAGUGUGUUUUGAUAAACCAAUUUUCAUUUCUUCCCCCCCCCCACUCCCAUUGGCUAUGAAAAUCCAGUGGAAGGAGAACCCUGUGGGAAAUGCAAGUGUUGGCUUGGGACGGAAAAUGACACAGUCAGGCUGCCUUUCAGGAAGGGAAAACUCUGGUGACACUCUGACCGGUAGACCAAGGAGGGAGGGCUUGCUGCCACCCUUUGAGCAAGUGGAGACCCGGCUGGGACAGGACAAUUCAAAUGCAGGAAGUAAAGAAAAUGUAGAAGGCAAAAGAAGAAAUGUGUAUGGAAAGGAAACUGCCAGGAAGCUGCUAAAACUCAUCUUAUGCACGUGUGUGUGUGUGUGUGUGUGUGUGUGUACACAAUGCUAACACAAUGAAAGUCAUCUGACACCACUUUGUAACAGACACUCCAGAAACUUCAAGAUUCAAACGGACCAGGAAGACAAAGCAGUCAAAACCUCGUAUUUUGCAACACGGAGCAAGAAAGUCAUAAAGGUUCCAUCACCGGCCCCCGGGUUGCACGGUUCCUCAGCAGGUAGUGGCGCUGGGAAGUACCACCUGCUCCACCUGCUUCACCUGCUGCUCUUCCCUCUCAUGAACGCGAGGG